rnacentral:rRNA from 1 species
GAUGAACGUGCGCGUGCCUAACACAUGCAAGUCGAACGCACUCCUUCGGGGGUGAGUGGCGCACGGGUGCGGAACACGUAGCCAACCUGCCCUGGAGUGGCGGACAACUCUCUGAAAGGGGAGCUAAUACGGCCUACGCUCAGGAGCUGUAGAGGCUGCUGAGGAAAGUCUACGGAUGCUCUGGGAGGGGGCUGCGGCCCAUCAGGUGGUUGGUGAGGUAACGGCUCACCAAGCCGACGACGGGUCGGGGGUCUGAGAGGAUGGCCCCCCACACUGGGACUGAGACACGGCCCAGACUCCUACGGGAGGCAGCAGUGAGGAAUCUUGCACAAUGGGCGAAAGCCUGAUGCAGCGACGCCGCGUGGGCGAUGAAGGUCUUCGGAUCGUAAAGCCCUUUUCUGCGUGACGAGCGAGGACGGUAGCGCAGGAAGAAGCGUCGGCUAACUACGUGCCAGCAGCCGCGGUAA